UUGGACCAGAUUGAGACUCGAGUUGAACAGACCCCAGAAGAAAGCUCCAAAAAAAACAAAUCUUGAUUCUUAUCUUCCAUCAAUGACGUCUCCUCUUGAAGAUAAGGAGUGGGAAAAUACGGUUCAUUCUCGAAAAAGGUGACAUCGACAAACACAUGAAAUUUCCUCGUAGGAGGAUGAUAACAUUUGUAUCCUUUUUUAGUAGAGGAAUAUCCCAUAAAGGCAUCUAAUAGCUCUUAGAUCAAAUUUUC
rnacentral:lncRNA from 1 species